rnacentral:rRNA from 1 species
ACUGCCAGUGAUAAGCUGGAGGAAGGUGGGGAUGACGUCAAGUCCUCAUGGCCCUUACGUGUUGGGCUACACACGUGCUACAAUGGUAUCUACAACAGGAAGCAAGACGGCGACGUUAAGCAAAUCCUUAAAAGAUACCUCAGUUCGGAUUGCACUCUGCAACUCGAGUGCAUGAAGCUGGAAUUACUAGUAAUCGUGGAUCAGCGUGCCACGGUGAAUGCGUUCCCGGGUCUUGUACACACCGCCCGUCACACCAUGGGAGUUGGUUCUACCUUAAGGCAAGGUUUAAAACCCUUGACCACGGUAUAGUCAGCGACUGGGGUGAAGUCGUAACAAGGUAGCCGUAGGGGAACCUGCGGCUGGAUUACCUCCUUU